GUGGUAACAAGUCAGCAGUGGGUCACGGCUGCAGAGACUGAGGGGCUAUGUGAGACUGCGAGAGGAUGGCCUGCCUUGGAGAAGAAAUUAUGUGAGUGUGUGCAAAAUUCUGUAUCUGAUCAAGGUGGGUCAAAUGUGUCCUGUGAAAAUGUAUGGGAAAAGCCUUCCAGCGAGAGGGGGCUGAAUGAAUAUAUGUGCCAAUAUGUGCCUGAAGCAGAUGUAUGUGAU